UACAGUCAAUUUAUGUUAAAGUCUCUCCAGUUUCAUGGAGCUAUUCCCCGCUGAUUUUCACACGGAAGAUGCCUUCAUUGGAACCAGACCGUAAGGUUCUACAUUUAUCCCAUGAGGGACAUCCAGUUUGAUGUUUGCAUCAUCUCAGGCGGUGUUGGAUUUUUGGGACAAAAAAGGAAGACAUUAUAACAAGUUUUGAAGAACAGGUG